rnacentral:rRNA from 1 species
CAAUAGCGUAUAUUAAAGUUGUUGCAGUUAAAAAGCUCGUAGUUGGAUUUCUGGUCGGAAGCUCCUGUCCUCUGAUGAGCGUACAAGUGCGUCCUACCAUCCUUCUGUUAACCUUUAAGGCUUUCGCGGCUUUCUAGGGGCUCAGAUAUUUUACCUUGAGAAAAUUAGAGUGUUUCAGGCAGGCUAGCGCCGGAAUACAUUAGCAUGGAAUAAUGGAAUAGGACUUUUGCCUCUUCUGUUGGUCAUGAGGCUCGAGUAAUGAUUAAUAGGGAUAGUUGGGGGCAUUAGUACUUAACUGUCAGAGGUGAAAUUCUCGGAUUUGUUAAAGACUAACUUAUGCGAAAGCAUUUGCCAAGGAUGGUUUCAUUA